UUUGGGCUCAUGUCUAAGUUUCCUAGCUGUACUGAGCGUUUGGUUUUGCUAAGAAUGGUAUUUCACAGGUGUCAGUCUGCAGUGGGCUAUUGUAGUAACUAGUGGACAUCCUGAUACCCUCAGCAUUUGCUUUAGGAUUUUUAACUGCAAUUCUAAAACUCAGUCUUACUUUCUACUUUGGCAAGAUAUUAGUGUGUGUUCAAAAUUUAACAAAUAAAACCACUUUGGGACGUGCGCCAAAUGUUUGCAGCUUUUUACAUAUAAGGUGACUUCUAACUAGAAACAAACAAGCAAACAAAAAGUUAAAAGGACCUUCUUAAAAGAUAACCAGAAAAUGUGAAGUCUAUCUUUGCAAUCAAAAAGAAGACAGUGCAAUUUAUUCUGAAAUGGACUCUUUUCAAGAUAUCCAGUCUCGUCUUCUAACCUUCUGUCCGUGUUGAACACCACGAAUUCUCCAAAGGUGCUGUGCUGCCUCCUAUCUUCUCCUAUGCCCAUUUUAACCACAGCCAGAUAUACCUCUCUCUGUUCCCUCCUUUUCCUGCCUACUUAUUUUUCAGAGUUCAGGUCUAUCUUCUCUUCCUUUGAUUAGUCCUCUUCUGCCUGCUUUCAAAACAAGUAUAGCUAUCAUUUACAUACUAUUUGCAUAUUUGACUGAUGUUUUAUCACACUUUCAUUGUAC